rnacentral:rRNA from 1 species
GAUGAACGCUAGCGGCAGGCCUAAUACAUGCAAGUCGAACGGUGUAUUCGGACAUAGUGGCGCACGGGUGCGUAACACGUAUGCAACCUACCUUACAUUGGGGGAUAGCCUUUCGAAAGGGAGAUUAAUACCGCAUAAGACAGUAGCUGGGCAUCCAGCAGCUGUUAAAGAUUUAUCGAUGUAAGCUGGGCAUGCGUCCAAUUAGCUAGUUGGUGAGGUAACGGCUCACCAAGGCAAUGAUUGGUAGGGGAACUGAGAGGUCAAUCCCCCACACUGGAACUGAGCUACGGGCCAUACUCCUACGGGAGGCAGCAGUAGGGAAUAUUGGGCAAUGGACGCAAGUCUGCCCCAGCCAUGCCGCGUGCAGGAUGAAGGCGUUAUGCGUUGUAAACUGCUUUUAUACAGGAAGAAACGACUCUUGCGAGAGGCAUUGACGGUACUGUAUGAAUAAGCACCGGCUAACUCCGUGCCAGCAGCCGCGGUAACAC